AGAGUUUGAUCAUGGCUCAGGACGAACGCUGGCGGCGUGCUUAACACAUGCAAGUCGAACGAAGCUUGAUUACGGAUUCUUCGGAUGAAGUAAGAUAUGACUGAGUGGCGGACGGGUGAGUAACGCGUGAGUAACCUGCCCUUCAGAGGGGGAUAGCGUUUGGAAACGAACGGUAAUACCACAUAAUGUAUUUUGACCGCAUGAUCGAAAUACCAAAGAUUUAUCGCUGAAGGAUGGACUCGCGUCUGAUUAGGUAGUUGGUGGGGUAACGGCCUACCAAGCCGACGAUCAGUAGCCGGACUGAGAGGUUGAUCGGCCACAUUGGGACUGAGACACGGCCCGGACUCCUACGGGAGGCAGCAGUGGGGAAUAUUGCACAAUGGGCGCAAGCCUGAUGCAGCAACGCCGCGUGAAGGAAGACGGUUUUCGGAUUGUAAACUUCUGUUCUUAGUGAAGAAUAAUGACGGUAGCUAAGGAGCAAGCCACGGCUAACUACGUGCCAGCAGCCGCGGUAAUACGUAGGUGGCAAGCGUUGUCCGGAAUUACUGGGUGUAAAGGGAGCGCAGGCGGGUGAUCAAGUCAGCUGUGAAAACUACGGGCUUAACCCGUAGACUGCAGUUGAAACUGUUCAUCUUGAGUGAAGUAGAGGUUGGCGGAAUUCCGAGUGUAGCGGUGAAAUGCGUAGAUAUUCGGAGGAACACCGGUGGCGAAGGCGGCCAACUGGGCUUUAACUGACGCUGAGGCUCGAAAGUGUGGGGAGCAAACAGGAUUAGAUACCCUGGUAGUCCACACUGUAAACGAUGAUUGCUAGGUGUGGGGGGUCUGACCCCUUCCGUGCCGGAGCUAACGCAAUAAGCAAUCCACCUGGGGAGUACGACCGCAAGGUUGAAACUCAAAGGAAUUGACGGGGACCCGCACAAGCAGUGGAUUAUGUGGUUUAAUUCGAAGCAACGCGAAGAACCUUACCUGCUCUUGACAUCUCCCUGACCGGCAAGUAAUGUUGCCUUUCCUUCGGGACAGGGAUGACAGGUGGUGCAUGGUUGUCGUCAGCUCGUGUCGUGAGAUGUUGGGUUAAGUCCCGCAACGAGCGCAACCCCUAUCUUUAGUAGCCAGCGGUUUGGCCGGGCACUCUAGAGAGACUGCCAGGGAUAACCUGGAGGAAGGUGGGGAUGACGUCAAAUCAUCAUGCCCCUUAUGAGCAGGGCUACACACGUGCUACAAUGGCGUAAACAAAGGGAGGCAGAACCGCGAGGUCGAGCAAAUCCCAAAAAUAACGUCUCAGUUCGGAUUGUAGUCUGCAACUCGACUACAUGAAGCUGGAAUCGCUAGUAAUCGCGAAUCAGAAUGUCGCGGUGAAUACGUUCCCGGGUCUUGUACACACCGCCCGUCACACCAUGGGAGUCAGUAACGCCCGAAGUCAGUGACCCAACCGCAAGGAGGGAGCUGCCGAAGGUGGGACCGAUAACUGGGGUGAAGUCGUAACAAGGUA
rnacentral:rRNA from 1 species